CCUACGGGUGGCAGCAGUGGGGAAUAUUGCGCAAUGGGCGAAAGCCUGACGCAGCGACGCCGCGUGAGUGAUGAAGGUCUUCGGAUCGUAAACCUCUGUCAGCAGGGAAGAACGCUCACUGUGCUAAUCAGCAGUGCACUGACGGUACCUGCAAAAGCAGCACCGGCUAACUCUGUGCCAGCAGCCGCGGUAAUAAGGAGGGUGCGUGCGUUAAUCGGAUUUACUUGGCGACAAGCGCUCGUAGGCGGUAUGUUAAGUCAAGGGUGAAGUCCCCGCGCUCAACGUGGUAACUGCCUUGGAAACUGGCGAACUGGAGUGUGGGAGAGGAUAGUGGAAUGCCAGGUGUAGGAGUGAAAUCCGUAGAUAUCAGGAGGAACAUCAGUGGCGAAGGCGACUAUCUGGCACGUAACUGACGCUGAGGAGCGAAAGCGUGGGUAGCAAACAGGAUUAGAUACCCCAGUAGUC
rnacentral:rRNA from 1 species